GCCAGAUAUUUUUAGGUGACAGAAAAUAGAACAGUUUUGUGGAGAAUGAAUCAGCUGAAGGAACACUGGUUAUUUCCAUGCAAAUGGCUUUGAAUCAAUUUGUAAUGCUGCAUCCAAGACAUGUAAUAUCACCUGCAAAACUCCCAUGUGUGACUGAAGCAACCUGGUAUGGAAAUCAACAACACCUGUGCUGGAUGAAGCUUGGCCUGUGACUGGAACGUUUAGGAAAGCACAUGUAAGAAGUGAGCACAGCAGACUGUGUAAGGAGCAGACAUAUAUAGGACAACCUUUCAUAAUCACCAGGCAUAUUCAUAAUAAUAAACACUCAUUGACCAAA